AAACGAUGCCGGUUUAGCGGUGGACCGCCUUAUGUUAAACGAUGCCGUUUUUGCGUUUUUUUCUUUAUCAACCUUGUUUCCUCGCACUUUUAUAUCUCUCUUGUUGGCCUGAGAGGAGUCGAAGGAUAACAAUUCGAUAAACAUGGCGACGGCUUCAGGUACCGAUUCCAAUCAGAUUUUUCUUCUACGAUUCCAUUAGAUCUUCUUGAAAGCUGGGUUCUUGAUUUAGUUUUGAAAUUUCCUUUGCUGGCCAUGAAUCGCUGUUAUGAUAAUCUGAUUUCGUAUAUUGUAAUCAGAAAUUUAGGGCUUUUGGAUUUUUUUUUCGUAUCGUUGGUUCUCUUUCUCGUUAGGUUUUAGUUAGAUCAAGUAUUCUUUAUAGAGAGUCUGAUUUAGAGUAUUAGCUUUGGUAUCGUUGGUUCACUAUGUUCUCUGAUUUAGGGUUUCUUGUAGUUCCACUGGUUUUGAUUUUGGGUUUUUUUUGUUUGCAGUUGCUUUUAAGUCUAGGGAAGAUCAUAGGAAGCAAAUCGAGUUAGAGGAGGCUCGUAAAGCCGGGCUUGCACCAGCUGAGGUAGAUGAGGAUGGAAAGGAGAUCAAUCCUCACAUUCCUCAGUAUAUGUCCUCUGCUCCGUGGUAUCUCAACUCCGAGAAGCCGAGUUUGAAGCAUCAAAGGAAGUGGAAGAGUGAUCCCAAUUACACAAAGUCAUGGUACGACAGAGGUGCUAAGAUCUACCAAGCCGAAAAGUACCGCAAGGGAGCAUGUCAAAAGUAUAUGUCUUUCUCUGAUUUUGAAGAUGUUAGAGUUUGCUUUUUUUUUAGUUUUGGAUUUGUUCAAGUUUCUAACUUUUUAUUUUGAAGCUGUGGUGCAAUGACGCAUACUGCGAAGGCGUGUAUGGAUAGGCCUCGCAAGAUUGGAGCGAAGUACACGAACAAGAACAUUGCGCCUGAUGAAAAGAUCGAGAGUUUUGAGCUUGAUUAUGAUGGCAAGAGGGACAGGUGGAAUGGGUACGAUCCUUCUACUUACCAUCGUGUGGUAGACCUUUAUGAAGCAAAAGAGGAUGCGCGGAAGAAGUAUCUCAAGGAGCAGCAGAUUAAGAAGCUAGAGGAGAAGAACAAUAACCAGGAAGGCGAUGAUGCAACCAGUGAUGGAGACGAAGAAGAUGAUGACUUGAGGGUCGAUGAAGCUAAGGUUGAUGAGAGCAGGCAGAUGGACUUUGCAAAGGUUGAGAAACGUGUUCGGACAACUGGUGGUGGUAGUACAGGAACUGUAAGGUAUGGACUACUCUGUUUCUAUAAUUAUUAUCAUAUGUUUAUUUGAGUGUGUUUUUAUUUGAUGCACUAAUGAUUUAACCUUUUCUUAAUUCAGGAAUCUGCGUAUCAGAGAAGACACAGCGAAAUACCUGUUGAACCUUGAUAUCAAUUCGGCUCAUUAUGAUCCUAAAACUCGAUCCAUGCGUGAAGACCCACUCCCAGAUGCAGAUCCGAAUGAUAAAUUUUACUUGGUUAGUUGUAGUUCAUCGUUAUUGUAUCUCAUAUUAUGGUAAUCUAAGAUACUAACCAUAUUUUUGCUUAACCAUCUAUCCAGGGAGAUAAUCAAUAUAGAAACAGUGGCCAAGCUUUGGAGUUCAAACAGAUGAACAUCCACUCAUGGGAAGCGUUUGACAAGGGACAGGACAUGCAUAUGCAAGCUGCUCCAUCCCAAGCUGAGCUGCUCUACAAGAAUUUCAAGGUUGCAAAAGACAAACUGAAGACUCAUACGAAGGACACAAUCAUGGAGAAGUACGGGAACGCUUCUACAGAAGAUGAAAUCCCAAUGGAGCUUUUGCUUGGGCAGAGCGAAAGACAAGUUGAGUAUGACCGAGCAGGGAGGAUCAUAAAGGGACAGGUACGGUUUAUGAUGGUUUACUUCUUAACAUGUGGUAUGUUGUGCUUUUGUGUGGAUUCAUUUCAUUCUUAUACAUGUUGUUUUGUACACAGGAGGUUAUACUGCCAAAGAGCAAAUACGAGGAAGAUGUUCUCGCUAACAAUCACACGACUGUUUGGGGCUCGUGGUGGAGAGACCAUCAAUGGGGAUAUAGAUGUUGCCAGCAGACGAUUCGCAAUAGUUACUGCACAGGCUCUGCUGGUAUUGAGGCUGCAGAGGCUUCCCUUGAUCUGAUGAAGGCUAAUAUUGCUCGCAAAGAAGCCUGUGAAGGUUAGUGUUGUUGACUCUGUUUGCUGUUCAGUUCCGUAUUCUGCAUAUGUUUUUGUAAUGUUGUUUGCGUGUGCUAACAAAGCAAAUGAAUGGUGUUUUGGUGAUCAGAGAGCCCAAAGAAGGUUGAAGAGAAGAAGAUGGCCGCAUGGGGAACCGAUGUUCCUGAAGAUUUGGAAUUGAACGAGGAGGCACUUGCUAAUGCUCUUAAAAAGGUAAGAAGGCCGUAGACUCCGUUUAUAUUUCUCUUCUGUCAAAGACGUUUUUAUGUCUUGUAGACGUAUCUGAUACGCGUACAAUAAUGUGCAGGAGGAUGAGCGUAAGAGGGAGGAAAAGGAUGAGAGAAAGCGCAAGUACAAUGUCAAAUACACCAACGAUGUAAUUAUCUUACCACUCUAAUAGCAUCGAAUCACAUUCUUAAACUGAACUGUUGCUAAUUAAAAUAUCACAUUUUCAUCGCAGGUGACUCCGGAAGAGAUGGAAGCUUACAGAAUGAAGAGAGUUCACCACGAGGACCCAAUGAAGGAUUUCAUGUGAAAAAAUGUUUCUCCUGUUUUUUUUUUUUAACCGGAAGAAACUUUAUUACAUUUGUCUCUGUUUACUCGCAACACUUAUGGUGGAAAUAAACUAAAAUGUUGUCACUAAAGCUUUUGUGAAAGUUUGGCUAUUGCUUGCAUCCUUAUUUAUUUCUCUGGAAACUCUACCUAAAUCAUAGGAAGCAUAUAAGCUUAAGAGAUUAAUUAUGAUUUUAUUCUAAUUAACAAAGAUAUAUAAAUUAAAGGAGAAAGAUUAACUAUGAUUUUAUUCAGUAAAGCGUUACAUGCCUGUGUCAACGAUCGCUUCUAUACGACGGUCGUUGUUGUAAACUAGGCGUCCUUAAAAACUCAAAAACAAAACAGCUGCCUUAAAGCGUAGAACUUCUUUUGUACAUUAUUUUUUAUGACAAACCGUACAAAACCGAACAUUCAAACGCUGUUACAUCACUAACUCAUGCUUCAAGCCUCGACUCUAGGCAUACCGUAGCCCAUAGGACCACUGCUUUGAGUCAAUGUGGUCUCAAGAGUGCUGAACUUAACACUUCUAGCUUCUUGGGGUGAGAUCUGAUACCCGUUGGAUAUAACCUCAAGUGGUAAACCUCUCAUGACUGAGGUGCGUCCCGCGAGUGUGUUGAUCUGUGCGUUGUCGUUGCUCUUGAACUCGAUCCACUGGAACUGUUGGCUUGUGGCACGUUUCACGACCGCGAAGCCUUGUGGCACGACAAGUAACUGUCCCUGGGAGAUCUCUUGGUCAAACACUCUUUGUCCGUUGUCGUUCACCAUCUGUAUAUGAGCCUUCCCCUUUGUCACGUAGAGUGCCGCGUUUGCGUUCACGUUCCAUUGCGGCAGCACCAUAGCGUUCUGCCGUUAUUUAUCCAAAUUGUGAAAUUAAUUAUUAUUAUUUUGGAAAAAAAAAUGUCAGCACAAAUUUAAAUAAAAGUUUCGUGGGGGUUACGUUAUGGAUGGAGCCACGAAGAGCGCUAAGGCGGAGGAAUCUGAGGAUAGGGAGGUUGUAGCUGUUGAGUGUGCUAAUGUAUCCGAGCGAUGGCUUGUAGACAUCAGCACUUGACGGGUCAUCAAGGUUUUCGGUGCAUCUCAUUGUGCACAAUGUCUCCUCCAAACCAUUACCUUCUUCCUGUGGUUGCUGACCGCCUUGGCCUUGUCUCAAGGGUGGUCUAAUGACGCCGAAUUGACCUUGGACCUUGACGAUGUUGCCACGGUUGACUUGCUGGUUUUGGAGCUUUUGAGCUGUCUCGACGCUGAUUUUAAAGGCUUGAGCCAAGAUCUGAGGUGCGAAGCCAUUGAAGAUGUUGUUUUGUUUUUGUUGCUGUCGGCCUUGUAGCCAUUGCUGUCCUUGUGGGUUGUUUCCGGCUAUCAAAAAGGGCUGCAGGUAAACAUAAAAAUAUGAUUAUUAAUCUUUAGGUUAAUUAUNNNNNNNNNNNNNNNNNNNNNNNNNNNNNNNNNNNNNNNNNNNNNNNNNNNNNNNNNNNNNNNNNGUGGGGGGGGGGGGGGGAAUUAAAAGUGAAGAUUUAAACCUAAUAUAUGUUAAUCAUUUGAGUUUAUCAAUUUAUAAAUCGAUUAUAUUCAAGAAUAUAAACUAAGAACAACGAGCAGAUAUAUCAAUGUUCGAGUCCUAUAAAUUUUCUUUUUUUUUUAAUACUAACUAUCAUGUUAAUACUUUGUUUUCUAUAAAAAGUAGUUGAGGGCUAACCAAAAAAAAAUUAGUUUUAUUCUCGAUAAGCAAAAGAAAAAGAACUAUUCCAACCACAAACCGAAAAAUGUUCACUCUUUAAGGAAAAAAAUCGUUUUCGUGUUUCUUUUUUUGUUGUUAGACUUACUCUGAGGUUGCGGUCAAGCUGGUUCAGGUUAUUUGCGAUGUCAGCGGCUGCAACAAGAAUGAGAGGCUCAUUUCCAUUGUUGUAGAACCAUUGAGCUACACCAGGUGGUGUCGCUAUGGUGUCACCGCACCGUAGGUGCUCUACUUUCUGGUGCAUGUCACGGAAACCCUGGCCUUGACCCUGACCCUCCUGACCUUGUUCCUGGCUCUGUCCUUGUCCAAAUACAGGAGAGUCCAUGAAUGUCUCGGCGCAUCCAGGA
rnacentral:lncRNA from 1 species